AUUGAACGCUGGCGGCAGGCUUAACACAUGCAAGUCGAGCGGAGAUGAGGUGCUUGCACCUUAUCUUAGCGGCGGACGGGUGAGUAAUGCUUAGGAAUCUGCCUCUUAGUGGGGGACAACAUUCCGAAAGGAAUGCUAAUACCGCAUACGUCCUACGGGAGAAAGCCGGGGAUCUUCGGACCUUGCGCUAAUAGAUGAGCCUCAGUCGGAUUAGCUAGUUGGUGGGGUAAAGGCCUACCAAGGCGACGAUCUGUAGCGGGUCUGAGAGGAUGAUCCGCCACACUGGGACUGAGACACGGCCCAGACUCCUACGGGAGGCAGCAGUGGGGAAUAUUGGACAAUGGGGGGAACCCUGAUCCAGCCAUGCCGCGUGUGUGAAGAAGGCCUUAUGGUUGUAAAGCACUUUAAGCGAGGAGGAGGCUACUGAGACUAAUACUCUUGGAUAGUGGACGUUACUCGCAGAAUAAGCACCGGCUAACUCUGUGCCAGCCGCCGCCGUAACAC
rnacentral:rRNA from 1 species